AGAGUUUGAUCAUGGCUCAGAUUGAACGCUGGCGGCAGGCUUAACACAUGCAAGUCGAACGGUAACAGGAGAAAGCUUGCUUUCUUGCUGACGAGUGGCGGACGGGUGAGUAAUGCUUGGGAAUCUGGCUUAUGGAGGGGGAUAACGACGGGAAACUGUCGCUAAUACCGCGUAGAAUCGAGAGAUGAAAGUGUGGGACCUUCGGGCCACAUGCCAUAGGAUGAGCCCAAGUGGGAUUAGGUAGUUGGUGAGGUAAAGGCUCACCAAGCCGACGAUCUCUAGCUGGUCUGAGAGGAUGACCAGCCACACUGGGACUGAGACACGGCCCAGACUCCUACGGGAGGCAGCAGUGGGGAAUAUUGGACAAUGGGCGAAAGCCUGAUCCAGCCAUGCCGCGUGUGUGAAGAAGGCCUUUUGGUUGUAAAGCACUUUAAGUGGGGAGGAAAAGUUGACGGUUAAUACCCGCCAGCCCUGACGUUACCCACAGAAUAAGCACCGGCUAACUCUGUGCCAGCAGCCGCGGUAAUACAGAGGGUGCAAGCGUUAAUCGGAAUUACUGGGCGUAAAGCGAGCGUAGGUGGUCAUUUAAGUCAGAUGUGAAAUCCCCGGGCUUAACCUGGGAACUGCAUCUGAUACUGGGUGACUAGAGUAGGUGAGAGGGAAGUAGAAUUCCAGGUGUAGCGGUGAAAUGCGUAGAGAUCUGGAGGAAUACCGAUGGCGAAGGCAGCUUCCUGGCAUCAUACUGACACUGAGGUUCGAAAGCGUGGGUAGCAAACAGGAUUAGAUACCCUGGUAGUCCACGCCGUAAACGAUGA
rnacentral:rRNA from 1 species